rnacentral:rRNA from 1 species
UUAAGCGACUAAGCGUACACGGUGGAUGCCCUGGCAGUCAGAGGCGAUGAAGGACGUGCUAAUCUGCGAUAAGCGUCGGUAAGGUGAUAUGAACCGUUAUAACCGGCGAUUUCCGAAUGGGGAAACCUAGUGUGAUUCGUCACACUAUCAUUAACUGAAUCCAUAGGUUAAUGAGGCGAACCGGGGGAACUGAAACAUCUAAGUACCCCGAGGAAAAGAAAUCAACCGAGAUUCCCCCAGUAGCGGCGAGCGAACGGGGAGCAGCCCAGAGCCUGAAUCAGUGUGUGUGUUAGUGGAAGCGUCUGGAAAGGCGCGCGAUACAGGGUGACAGCCCCGUACACAAAAAUGCACAUGCUGUGAGCUCGAUGAGUAGGGCGGGACACGUGGUAUCCUGUCUGAAUAUGGGGGGACCAUCCUCCAAGGCUAAAUACUCCUGACUGACCGAUAGUGAACCAGUACCGUGAGGGAAAGGCGAAAAGAACCCCGGCGAGGGGAGUGAAAAAGAACCUGAAACCGUGUACGUACAAGCAGUGGGAGCACAGAGCAAUCUGUGUGACUGCGUACCUUUUGUAUAAUGGGUCAGCGACUUAUAUUCUGUAGCAAGGUUAACCGAAUAGGGGAGCCGAAGGGAAACCGAGUCUUAACUGGGCGUUAAGUUGCAGGGUAUAGACCCGAAACCCGGUGAUCUAGCCAUGGGCAGGUUGAAGGUUGGGUAACACUAACUGGAGGACCGAACCGACUAAUGUUGAAAAAUUAGCGGAUGACUUGUGGCUGGGGGUGAAAGGCCAAUCAAACCGGGAGAUAGCUGGUUCUCCCCGAAAGCUAUUUAGGUAGCGCCUCGUGAAUUCAUCUCCGGGGGUAGAGCACUGUUUCGGCAAGGGGGUCAUCCCGACUUACCAACCCGAUGCAAACUGCGAAUACCGGAGAAUGUUAUCACGGGAGACACACGGCGGGUGCUAACGUCCGUCGUGAAGAGGGAAACAACCCAGACCGCCAGCUAAGGUCCCAAAGUCAUGGUUAAGUGGGAAACGAUGUGGGAAGGCCCAGACAGCCAGGAUGUUGGCUUAGAAGCAGCCAUCAUUUAAAGAAAGCGUAAUAGCUCACUGGUCGAGUCGGCCUGCGCGGAAGAUGUAACGGGGCUAAACCAUGCACCGAAGCUGCGGCAGCGACACUGUGUGUUGUUGGGUAGGGGAGCGUUCUGUAAGCCUGCGAAGGUGUGCUGUGAGGCAUGCUGGAGGUAUCAGAAGUGCGAAUGCUGACAUAAGUAACGAUAAAGCGGGUGAAAAGCCCGCUCGCCGGAAGACCAAGGGUUCCUGUCCAACGUUAAUCGGGGCAGGGUGAGUCGACCCCUAAGGCGAGGCCGAAAGGCGUAGUCGAUGGGAAACAGGUUAAUAUUCCUGUACUUGGUGUUACUGCGAAGGGGGGACGGAGAAGGCUAUGUUGGCCGGGCGACGGUUGUCCCGGUUUAAGCGUGUAGGCUGGUUUUCCAGGCAAAUCCGGAAAAUCAAGGCUGAGGCGUGAUGACGAGGCACUACGGUGCUGAAGCAACAAAUGCCCUGCUUCCAGGAAAAGCCUCUAAGCAUCAGGUAACAUCAAAUCGUACCCCAAACCGACACAGGUGGUCAGGUAGAGAAUACCAAGGCGCUUGAGAGAACUCGGGUGAAGGAACUAGGCAAAAUGGUGCCGUAACUUCGGGAGAAGGCACGCUGAUAUGUAGAUGAAGUCCCUCGCGGAUGGAGCUGAAAUCAGUCGAAGAUACCAGCUGGCUGCAACUGUUUAUUAAAAACACAGCACUGUGCAAACACGAAAGUGGACGUAUACGGUGUGACGCCUGCCCGGUGCCGGAAGGUUAAUUGAUGGGGUCAGCGCAAGCGAAGCUCUUGAUCGAAGCCCCGGUAAACGGCGGCCGUAACUAUAACGGUCCUAAGGUAGCGAAAUUCCUUGUCGGGUAAGUUCCGACCUGCACGAAUGGCGUAAUGAUGGCCAGGCUGUCUCCACCCGAGACUCAGUGAAAUUGAACUCGCUGUGAAGAUGCAGUGUACCCGCGGCAAGACGGAAAGACCCCGUGAACCUUUACUAUAGCUUGACACUGAACAUUGAGCCUUGAUGUGUAGGAUAGGUGGGAGGCUUUGAAGUGUGGACGCCAGUCUGCAUGGAGCCGACCUUGAAAUACCACCCUUUAAUGUUUGAUGUUCUAACGUGGACCCGUGAUCCGGGUUGCGGACAGUGUCUGGUGGGUAGUUUGACUGGGGCGGUCUCCUCCUAAAGAGUAACGGAGGAGCACGAAGGUUGGCUAAUCCUGGUCGGACAUCAGGAGGUUAGUGCAAUGGCAUAAGCCAGCUUGACUGCGAGCGUGACGGCGCGAGCAGGUGCGAAAGCAGGUCAUAGUGAUCCGGUGGUUCUGAAUGGAAGGGCCAUCGCUCAACGGAUAAAAGGUACUCCGGGGAUAACAGGCUGAUACCGCCCAAGAGUUCAUAUCGACGGCGGUGUUUGGCACCUCGAUGUCGGCUCAUCACAUCCUGGGGCUGAAGUAGGUCCCAAGGGUAUGGCUGUUCGCCAUUUAAAGUGGUACGCGAGCUGGGUUUAGAACGUCGUGAGACAGUUCGGUCCCUAUCUGCCGUGGGCGCUGGAGAACUGAGGGGGGCUGCUCCUAGUACGAGAGGACCGGAGUGGACGCAUCACUGGUGUUCGGGUUGUCAUGCCAAUGGCACUGCCCGGUAGCUAAAUGCGGAAGAGAUAAGUGCUGAAAGCAUCUAAGCACGAAACUUGCCCCGAGAUGAGUUCUCCCUGACUCCUUGAGAGUCCUGAAGGAACGUUGAAGACGACGACGUUGAUAGGCCGGGUGUGUAAGCGCAGCGAUGCGUUGAGCUAACCGGUACUAAUGAACCGUGAGGCUUAACCUU